rnacentral:rRNA from 1 species
CUACGGGGCGCUGCAGUGAGGAAUUUUGCGCAAUGGGGGGAACCCUGACGCAGCAACGCCGCGUGAGUGAUGAAGGCUUUCGGGUCGUAAAGCUCUGUCAAGUGGGAAGAACCUAUGCAGUGUUAAUAUCACUGUAUACUGACGGUACCACUGAAGGAAGCACCGGCUAACUCCGUGCCAGCAGCCGCGGGAAUACGGGGGGUGCAAGCGUUAUUCGGAAUCAUUGGGCGUAAAGGGCACGUAGGCGGCUUGGUAAGUCAGAUGUGAAAGCCGGGGGCUUAACCCCGGAAGUGCAUUUGAUACUGUCAGGCUUGAGUAUGGGAGAGGGAAGUGGAAUUCCUGGUGUAGAGGUGAAAUUCGUAGAUAUCAGGAGGAACACCGGUGGCGAAGGCGACUUCCUGGACCAAUACUGACGCUGAGGUGCGAAGGCGUGGGUAGCAAACAGGAUUAGAUACCCCCGUAGUC